rnacentral:rRNA from 1 species
AUUGAACGCUGGCGGCAUGCUUUACACAUGCAAGUCGAACGGUAACAGGGUGCUUGCACCGCUGACGAGUGGCGAACGGGUGAGUAAUGCGUCGGAACGUGCCGAGUAGUGGGGGAUAACGCAGCGAAAGUUGUGCUAAUACCGCAUACGUACUGAGGUAGAAAGUGGGGGACCUUCGGGCCUCACGCUAUUCGAGCGGCCGACGUCUGAUUAGCUAGUAGGUGAGGUAAAGGCUCACCUAGGCGACGAUCAGUAGCGGGUCUGAGAGGAUGAUCCGCCACACUGGGACUGAGACACGGCCAAGACUCCUACGGGAGGCAGCAGUGGGGAAUUUUGGACAAUGGGCGAAAGCCUGAUCCAGCCAUGCCGCGUGUCUGAAGAAGGCCUUCGGGUUGUAAAGGACUUUUGUCAGGGAGGAAAUCCCUAGUGCUAAUAACACUGGGGGAUGACAGUACCUGAAGAAUAAGCACCGGCUAACUACGUGCCAGCAGCCGCGGUAAAAC